ensembl:processed_transcript Gas5 growth arrest specific 5
UGCGGCACGCUGAGCAGGAAUGGCAAUGUGGACCUCUGUGAUGGGACAUCUUGUGGGAUCUCACAGCCAGUUCUGUGGCAAAGGAGGAUGAAGGCUUACGAGGACUCGUCAGGAAGCUGGAUAACAGAACAAGUGCAAUGUAAGUAAUUUUGUGUGUGCAUGUGGUCCCAUUACAAGGAAUACCCAAUGGCAAAUGAGCACUAAAGAUCCCUCAACACACACAUUGAAUGUAUUGUUCCCUGAGAGCAAUUGUAGAUAGAGGAGUGGGUGGGAAGUCUGAAGUCAGGGCAUUGUUUCUGCCUAUCUGAGUAGGCUGGUUUUUGAUAUUUGUGGGAGCUAGUGGUCGUUAACUCAUUUACCCCCUAUUUGGUGGACUCUGGUUCCCCCAUCUUAAGUGCUGAGUCAGGGGCCUAACCGGGCAGCUUUAACUAUUUGUUUGUUGUAGGUGCUAGAAGACCAGAAAAUGAAAUGGUGGAGUUUGAGGCUGGAUAGACAGUUUGAAAGUUAACUGUGGUUGCAUGCUUGUUCAUUUGGCUGGCUUGCUUGGGUACAAAUGAUGGUUUGAAUAAAGGUAUAACGCACGGGUCGCCUCAAGUGAAGGCACUGCAAACAAAAUGAUUGGUCAUUCUGAAUUUCCGGUCCUUCAUUCUGAAUUUCAAAGGCUCCUGUGACAAGUGGACAUGCAGUGACUGUACCUUUGUUUCUGAGGUGCCUGGAUGGAGGCUCAAAUAGAAGAUGGUGUCAGAUAUAUUGUGUUGUCAAAAUUUUACCAUUAAAGUGUAUUAUAACAUGAA